rnacentral:rRNA from 1 species
UACGUAGGGUGCGAGCGUUGUCCGGAAUUAUUGGGCGUAAAGAGCUCGUAGGCGGUCUGUCGCGUCUGCUGUGAAAUCCCGAGGCUCAACCUCGGGCCUGCAGUGGGUACGGGCAGACUAGAGUUCGGUAGGGGAGACUGGAAUUCCUGGUGUAGCGGUGAAAUGCGCAGAUAUCAGGAGGAACACCGGUGGCGAAGGCGGGUCUCUGGGCCGAAACUGACGCUGAGGAGCGAAAGCGUGGGGAGCAAACAGG